rnacentral:misc_RNA from 1 species
CCGAGUUAUACAACUCAUCAACCCUGUGAACAUACCUAUAACGUUGCCUCGGCGGGAACAGACGGCCCCGUAACACGGGCCGCCCCCGCCAGAGGACCCCCUAACUCUGUUUCUACAAUGUUUCUUCUGAGUAAACAAGCAAAUAAAUUA